ensembl:lncRNA
GCCCGAAGCCCCACGUCCCUGAGCUCCGGGUGGUGAGGCCUCGGCUCCCGGUGCCCUUGGCAGCCGCCUUCGGGUUUACAGAGAGAGCCGGCGAGCUCCGCGCCCGGCCCCAUGGGCACCUCUGCUCCUUGAGCUCCGGGGUGUCUGCCUAAGGGGCCCUGGUCUCCGAAGCCACGGAAGAGCGGGUGCAACCUCUCUGAGCGCCCGUACCAAGCCUGCUCUACGGCAGGUGCGUCUCGUGGACACACGCGCGCGACUGUCGGGGUAAGAUCAACACGGAGACUUCGCGCCUCCGCGUUCCGAGAGGCGCUCGGGGCUGCUGCCUCCUCUCAACCACCUUUGCCCCAAAGACCCCAGAAGGACCUAGUGAGUCCAGGCCCCCUUGCCUCUGCCCUUGGUGGGAGACUUGAGGGGCCCGCCGGGUGCUGCCUACAUGACUUGCUGAGCCUCCUCGGGUGUGGGUGUGGCAGGCAGGGGGAGCUGGGAGGCGUGUCCAGGACAGAGGUGACUGACUGGCCGGAGGAGGGGGAGCCCACUGAGGAGAGUGCCAGCUACAUAAGGGCCAGCCCAGCCCAGCCCGGAGCUCUCUGGGAGGUGCCAGGUGCCAGGAUGAAGGCUGCUGCUCUGCUGGUGGUACUGCUGUGCUCAGGUGGAGCCUGGGCCAUAAGAUGCCACAACUGCACGAACCCUAACGGGAACACCUGCUCAGGACCCGUAGACUGCCCCAGCAACGCCAACGCCUGCGCUUCAUAUUUGCUGAGUGAGUCCAGGCUCUGUCUUCCUAGAAGUUAAGAGGGUACGGUGGGACUCGAAGACCUCGGCAGGGGUGGGGGCGAAGGACAGGGCGGGCUACUACCACAGCCCAAGAGGUGUGACAAGUCUCACUCUACACAAAAAGCCUGAAGUUAGAAAAAGUCCCCAGGGGGAUUUCCUGUGAAUCCAAGUGUGGCUUCACAGUGUGAGCCAGACCCUGGCCGCAAGGGCUCCAGCCAGGGGCGCUGCAGCCAGCACGGUUCCCUGGGCACUGCUGGGGUAGGUGCCAAGGCGGAGAGGUCCAUGGGCUCUCAGGACUCUAAGAUAAGUGCAUUCUGGGGUCAGGAGGAAAGUUCCAGUCACAGUCAGUGACCCACAGCCUCUGGAUGUUUCUUCCAUGUGACAGAUGUCAAACUGCCAGACAAGACGUUGGACACGGCAAUCAAGACCUGUAUGCAAUCGUGCGAGAGCCUCAACCCCAUGCCAUCCCGUGCUUCAUCCGGAGCUUUAGUCAGCGAUCUACAUGCCUCCAUCUACUGUUGCAGCACCAACCUGUGUAACCGAGCUGGGGGCCCAGGGCCAGGGGCCACCACCGUGGGCCUGAUGCUUGUGGCCAGUGUCCUUGUCACCCUCCUAGGGGCCUCCCUGUGACCCAGAGGUGCGGGACAUGAUUGAGGCAGCACAACCCAGGACACCCAGACCCCUAAGCCCCUGUCCCCAUCAGGCUGUCUGUGAGCUCAUAAAUUGAAGACAGAGUACAGAGGAAGUGGAGGGCCUGGUGGGGUGGUUACAGAGGACCACGCCCAUUCGCCCCAGAUCUUCAAGGCCAACAGAGGCACCCCACCCCAGCACACCAACGCAGAGAACCUCCUGGAGUCUUUGGCUUUUUCUGGGUGUCCUGCCCGGGGCCUUCAGCCAUCAGUGCCAGGCCUACCACAGUCCUCGGGGAGCUGCUCCCCCAGUUGUGCAGAGACUUUCCGUCGCCCUGGGUGGAGUGUGAACCCAAGGCCUGACUUCCAGCCCAGAGCCACUGGCCAGGCUGGGGCUCCACCCGCAGCGUCCCCUUCCUGCGGCACCGCUUGUCCCUGUCCGACCCCCUGCCCGUGCCCCCCACUUCCCCAGGAGUAGCUCUGGAAUAAAG